AAAUUGAAGAGUUUGAUCAUGGCUCAGAUUGAACGCUGGCGGCAGGCCUAACACAUGCAAGUCGAGCGGUAGCACAGAGAGCUUGCUCUCGGGUGACGAGCGGCGGACGGGUGAGUAAUGUCUGGGAAACUGCCUGAUGGAGGGGGAUAACUACUGGAAACGGUAGCUAAUACCGCAUAACGUCGCAAGACCAAAGUGGGGGACCUUCGGGCCUCAUGCCAUCAGAUGUGCCCAGAUGGGAUUAGCUAGUAGGUGGGGUAACGGCUCACCUAGGCGACGAUCCCUAGCUGGUCUGAGAGGAUGACCAGCCACACUGGAACUGAGACACGGUCCAGACUCCUACGGGAGGCAGCAGUGGGGAAUAUUGCACAAUGGGCGCAAGCCUGAUGCAGCCAUGCCGCGUGUGUGAAGAAGGCCUUCGGGUUGUAAAGCACUUUCAGCGGGGAGGAAGGCGAUAAGGUUAAUAACCUUGUCGAUUGACGUUACCCGCAGAAGAAGCACCGGCUAACUCCGUGCCAGCAGCCGCGGUAAUACGGAGGGUGCAAGCGUUAAUCGGAAUUACUGGGCGUAAAGCGCACGCAGGCGGUCUGUCAAGUCGGAUGUGAAAUCCCCGGGCUCAACCUGGGAACUGCAUUCGAAACUGGCAGGCUAGAGUCUUGUAGAGGGGGGUAGAAUUCCAGGUGUAGCGGUGAAAUGCGUAGAGAUCUGGAGGAAUACCGGUGGCGAAGGCGGCCCCCUGGACAAAGACUGACGCUCAGGUGCGAAAGCGUGGGGAGCAAACAGGAUUAGAUACCCUGGUAGUCCACGCCGUAAACGAUGUCGAUUUGGAGGUUGUGCCCUUGAGGCGUGGCUUCCGGAGCUAACGCGUUAAAUCGACCGCCUGGGGAGUACGGCCGCAAGGUUAAAACUCAAAUGAAUUGACGGGGGCCCGCACAAGCGGUGGAGCAUGUGGUUUAAUUCGAUGCAACGCGAAGAACCUUACCUGGUCUUGACAUCCACAGAACUUUCCAGAGAUGGAUUGGUGCCUUCGGGAACUGUGAGACAGGUGCUGCAUGGCUGUCGUCAGCUCGUGUUGUGAAAUGUUGGGUUAAGUCCCGCAACGAGCGCAACCCUUAUCCUUUGUUGCCAGCGGUUCGGCCGGGAACUCAAAGGAGACUGCCAGUGAUAAACUGGAGGAAGGUGGGGAUGACGUCAAGUCAUCAUGGCCCUUACGACCAGGGCUACACACGUGCUACAAUGGCAUAUACAAAGAGAAGCGACCUCGCGAGAGCAAGCGGACCUCAUAAAGUAUGUCGUAGUCCGGAUUGGAGUCUGCAACUCGACUCCAUGAAGUCGGAAUCGCUAGUAAUCGUAGAUCAGAAUGCUACGGUGAAUACGUUCCCGGGCCUUGUACACACCGCCCGUCACACCAUGGGAGUGGGUUGCAAAAGAAGUAGGUAGCUUAACCUUCGGGAGGGCGCUUACCACUUUGUGAUUCAUGACUGGGGUGAAGUCGUAACAAGGUAACCGUAGGGGAACCUGCGGUUGGAUCACCUCCUUACCUUAAAGAA
rnacentral:rRNA from 3 species